rnacentral:rRNA from 1 species
GACGAACGCUGGCGGCGUGCCUAAUACAUGCAAGUCGAGCGGAUCUUUUAGGAGCUUGCUCUUAAAAGAUUAGCGGCGGACGGGUGAGUAACACGUGGGCAACCUGCCUGUAAGACUGGGAUAACUUCGGGAAACUGGAGCUAAUACCGGAUAAUUUCUUCCCUCUCCUGAGGGAAGGUUGAAAGACGGCUUCGGCUGUCACUUACAGAUGGGCCCGCGGCGCAUUAGCUAGUUGGUGAGGUAACGGCUCACCAAGGCAACGAUGCGUAGCCGACCUGAGAGGGUGAUCGGCCACACUGGGACUGAGACACGGCCCAGACUCCUACGGGAGGCAGCAGUAGGGAAUCUUCCGCAAUGGACGAAAGUCUGACGGAGCAACGCCGCGUGAGUGAUGAAGGUUUUCGGAUCGUAAAACUCUGUUAUCAGGGAAGAACAAGUAUCGGAGUAACUGCCGGUACCUUGACGGUACCUGACCAGAAAGCCACGGCUAACUACGUG